rnacentral:rRNA from 1 species
UACGUAGGGUCCGAGCGUUGUCCGGAAUUAUUGGGCGUAAAGAGCUCGUAGGCGGUUAGUCGCGUCUGCUGUGAAAACUCGGGGCUUAACCCUGGGCCUGCAGUGGGUACGGGCUGACUAGAGUGCGGUAGGGGAGACUGGAAUUCCUGGUGUAGCGGUGAAAUGCGCAGAUAUCAGGAGGAACACCGGUGGCGAAGGCGGGUCUCUGGGCCGUAACUGACGCUGAGGAGCGAAAGCGUGGGGAGCAAACGGG